CCUACAGCCAUUUUGUCUUCCAGAUUUGAUUUAAGGACUGGAAGCUGAUGAUGGAAAAUGUUGUAGCUGGUGAGGAAGUGAUGCCGCACAGGAAUCCUCGAGGUGCAAAUGGCGGCGGCGGCGGCGGCGGAGGCGGAGGCGAAGCUGCGAGGGCCGGGCCGAGAACACCGAUAAGGAAGCUCUCCCGCAACCGGGGCCUAGUCAUGCACGAUGAGAUGGUGGUCGAGGAUUCGCCCCAGAACGCCAACUCCGGCGACCAUCGCAAGCGUAGGCGCCUCUUCGACGGUUAGCCUUGCGACUAGGUUCAUGUUUGUGGUUUGAUAUAUUUUUGGUGUAUCAUUUUAAGUUAUUUGGCCCUUCUUGACCAUGUGUAUAUUCUAACACCAAUUUCACUGGCUUGAAUAUUAUCUACUCCGCUAAUCCGAAAUUUGGGAGAAUUUUUGUAGUGAAAGUACAAGUCAAUGCAUAUAAAUGUAGUGCUAUAUUUUGUUCUAACUCUGUUAUCUUGUCAAGCCAAAAGAUGUGCUACCAUUUUAUUUUAUUUUUUUCAUUUUAGAUAAA